UACGUAGGGCGCGAGCGUUGUCCGGAAUUACUGGGCGUAAAGGGCUCGUAGGCGGCCAACUAAGUCGGAUGUGAAAUCCCCAGGCUCAACCUGGGAACUGCAUCCGAUACUGGAUGGCUUGAAUUCGGGAGAGGGAUGCAGAAUUCCAGGUGUAGCGGUGAAAUGCGUAGAUAUCCGGAGGAACACCGGUGGCGAAGGCGGCUUCCUGGUCCGGUUCUGACGCUGAGGCGCGAAAGCGUGGGGAGCAAACAGG
rnacentral:rRNA from 1 species